CUCUGAGCAGAUCAGUGCCGGAACGCCUCGGGUUUCUUUGUCGCGUGCAAAACGUUCACGUCGAAGAGUUAUACACGGCAGCACAAGCUUUCGCAGAAGUUUUCAGUGGACUGGGACAGCUGAAAGGCGUGAAGUAUACAAUGCAGCUAAAGCUAGGAGCCGUAGGAGUCGUCGUGCCAGCCAGGAGAGUUCCAGUGGCCUUUCAAGACAAAGUCAAGGAAGAGCUUCUGCGCAUGGAAGAACAAGGCGUGAUAUCAAAGCGAGAGGUGCGCUACCUGGGACACGUGCUCAGCGCCGAAGGCCUGCGUGUGGACGCCCAACGUGUUCAAGAUAUUCUGGAAACGCCGACACCAAGAAACUACGCACGGCAAUAUCUGUGCAACUAUUCAUGUUUCACACUCCUGCCCAAACAACCACUUCAUGUGAAGAGAGGCAGCGCAGGAGUCAGCGAAACUUGUGAACGAGAAAAGGAAGCCAAGUGCAGUGACUGAGACGCAGCGCUUUUGCUCUAAAGGACACGCCCGUCGUCGUCGCCCACUUCUCUCGCUGCCAUGCAAAUGAGCACUUCACCACUCACUUCAGCCGCCACGUGCAUGCAUCAAGUGCCUAUGUAUA